GUCGCUGUGCUUCGCGGCGGCGCGGGUCUUCCCUUUCCCAGGAGAAAAGAAAAGAAAAAUGGAGUCGCAGCCGGCUUCGGCAGGUGUUGGGGCCAGGGGUGUGAGACGCCGAGGCCGCGGGGACUUCCCCAUCUGCUUCCAACCGACGAAAGCGUGAAGUGAGGCGCGCCCAGUCCCAACCUGCCCAGGAACCUUCCCCUGGGAAGAUGAAGCUCCCUGGAAGAGGCUUCUUAGACGUGACCAUCUCCAGGAACCAGCGGGCAACCUUUAAGUGUGUGUGACCAGACCUCCAGCUAUAAGCAUGACGUGCAGUACAGAACAGCCUGCUAUGAAACUGAAAUUGAUUGGACAUUUUAUAGGAAUUGAUAGAGAUGAAGGUCCUCAAAAGCUUUAAAUCUGUGAUCUGCAAAAUAAAAUGUGUUGGAAACCUCUGGACAAAA